rnacentral:rRNA from 1 species
GAUGAUCGCUGGUGGCGUGCCUAAUACAUGCAAGUCGAGCGAACGGACGAGAAGCUUGCUUCUCUGAUGUUAGCGGCGGACGGGUGAGUAACACGUGGAUAACCUACCUAUAAGACUGGGAUAACUUCGGGAAACCGGAGCUAAUACCGGAUAAUAUUUUGAACCGCAUGGUUCAAAAGUGAAAGACGGUCUUGCCGUCACUUAUAGAUGGAUCCGCGCUGCAUUAGCUAGUUGGUAAGGUAACGGCUUACCAAGGCAACGAUGCAUAGCCGACCUGAGAGGGUGAUCGGCCACACUGGAACUGAGACACGGUCCAGACUCCUACGGGAGGCAGCAGUAGGGAAUCUUCCGCAAUGGGCGAAAGCCUGACGGAGCAACGCCGCGUGAGUGAUGAAGGUCUUCGGAUCGUAAAACUCUGUUAUUAGGGAAGAACAUAUGUGUAAGUAACUGUGCACAUCUUGACGGUACCUAACCAGAAAGCCACGGCUAACUACGUGCCAGCAGCCGCGGUAAUACGUAGGUGGCAAGCGUUAUCCGGAAUUAUUGGGCGUAAAGCGCGCGUAGGCGGUUUUUUAAGUCUGAUGUGAAAGCCCACGGCUCAACCGUGGAGGGUCAUUGGAAACUGGAAAACUUGAGUGCAGAAGAGGAAAGUGGAAUUCCAUGUGUAGCGGUGAAAUGCGCAGAGAUAUGGAGGAACACCAGUGGCGAAGGCGACUUUCUGGUCUGUAACUGACGCUGAUGUGCGAAAGCGUGGGGAUCAAACAGGAUUAGAUACCCUGGUAGUCCACGCCGUAAACGAUGAGUGCUAAGUGUUAGGGGGUUUCCGCCCCUUAGUGCUGCAGCUAACGCAUUAAGCACUCCGCCUGGGGAGUACGACCGCAAGGUUGAAACUCAAAGGAAUUGACGGGGACCCGCACAAGCGGUGGAGCAUGUGGUUUAAUUCGAAGCAACGCGAAGAACCUUACCAAAUCUUGACAUCCUUUGACAACUCUAGAGAUAGAGCCUUCCCCUUCGGGGGACAAAGUGACAGGUGGUGCAUGGUUGUCGUCAGCUCGUGUCGUGAGAUGUUGGGUUAAGUCCCGCAACGAGCGCAACCCUUAAGCUUAGUUGCCAUCAUUAAGUUGGGCACUCUAAGUUGACUGCCGGUGACAAACCGGAGGAAGGUGGGGAUGACGUCAAAUCAUCAUGCCCCUUAUGAUUUGGGCUACACACGUGCUACAAUGGACAAUACAAAGGGCAGCGAAACCGCGAGGUCAAGCAAAUCCCAUAAAGUUGUUCUCAGUUCGGAUUGUAGUCUGCAACUCGACUACAUGAAGCUGGAAUCGCUAGUAAUCGUAGAUCAGCAUGCUACGGUGAAUACGUUCCCGGGUCU